CUUAUACUCCCUCCGUCCCAAAAUUCUUGUCUUAGGUUUGUCUAUAAAUGGAUGUAGGUGUAUCUAAAUACCAAAACGUGACUACAUACAUUCAUAUCUAGACAAAUCUAAGACAAGAAGUUUGGGACGGAGGGAGUAUUAA
rfam:Hordeum vulgare subsp. vulgare, WGS project CAJW01000000 data, contig: morex_contig_64758